ensembl:lncRNA
CUGGUUUUAAUACAUAUUUUUUACUACUACAAGAAGUGCAUUUUUGGUGUAGUUUGUUUAUAGGCGUCAUGUUCCCCAAUCCUCUCCCUCCUCAGGAUGGAGUAUGUGAAGAAGCAGGAGAGUCUGCCUCCCCCUCCCAGCCCACUGAGGCAGGCGUCAGUCAGGGCAGCUCUGAACGGAGUCCCCUUCAUCGAGGCUGUCAAAACUUCCACGCCUAAAGUCAAGCCUGCUCACAGAGAGGCCAAGGCCCAGAAAGCAAAGACCUCCAAAUCAGACUAUAACUUCAGCACUGCUGCCCAGACAAUACAGCCAGCAUGCCAGCCACAGCACAACCCAGAGCCUGCUAGCAAACCAGACAAACCACCUGGAACUUCAGCAGCGCCCGUCCCAAAUGCUGACUCACCUGUCCCAAACAACUUGUCCUUUUCUCUUGGGACAACCACACCUCCAGCACAAACCCAGAAAGAGAAACGGUCUAAAAGCCAACCUCAGACUAAAGCAGCCCCUGAGGCUCAGGGCGCUGGUAGCACCUCGACCAGUUGCACCACGAGCAUCACCAGUAAACCAGCGGGGACAGGAAGCAGCAGCCAGCUCACCUUCUCUCCCAACUCUGUGAGCGGACGUGCCCAGGCUGCCAGACUGAGGCUGAAGCAGAUGAGAGAGGACAGGUCCAGGGCCCAGCCAGCAGAGGACAGGUCCAGGGCCCAGCCAGCAGAGGACAGGUCCAGGGCCCAGCCAGCAGAGGACAGGUCCAGGGCUCAAAGCCAGCAGAGGACAGGUCCAGGGCCAGCCAGCAGAGAGCAGCAGAGAGACAGGUCCAGGGCCCAGCAGCAGAGACAGGUCCAGGGCCCAGCCAGCAGAGGGCAGCAGAGAGGACAGGUCCAGGGCUCAGCCAGCAGAGGGCAGCAGAGAGGACAGGUCCAGGGCCCAGCCAGCAGAGGACAGGUCCAGGGCCCAGCCAGCAGAGGGCAGCAGAGGACAGGUCCAGGGCCCAGCCAGCAGAGGCAGCAGAGAGACAGGUCCAGGGCUCAGCCAGCAGAGGACAGCAAAGAGGACAGGUACAGGGCUCAGCCAGCAGAGGACAGCAGAGAGAACCACCUCUCGACAGAGCCACCCAGAGCUUCACAUCGAGCACCAGUUCAACCCCCACCACGACCCCUCACACCAGGACCAAGACAAUAUCGAGGCCCUAUCACCAUCAAGCAGGGACAGAAGCCCUCAAGAGGACAGCCAGAAGCCAGACCCACUACAGAGGGCAAGAAACAGCCAGAGGUCAAACCCUCAACAGAGGGCAAGAAACAGCCAGAGGUCAAACCCUCAACAGAGGGCAAGAGUCCACAGCAGCUGCAGGAGGGCAUCAGGGAAGCAUCAGGAUUCACCAGGACACACUACACUAACUGGUACGUAUCUAAUGCCCAGUUGCCCUCCUUUACAGAGCCCAUGGUUGCCGAGGCAACACAGCUGAUGGACAGGUAUCAGAAGUAUUGUAAUGAGUUCCAUUAUCCUGAUGGCAGAGGUGUGGUAGACUUCUCCAAGUUCAGCAUGUCUACAACACUUGGCGGUAAGGUGAGGGAGGUGGAUGAUCCUACAGAGGUAAACACAGUCUUUGAGGAGUGGUACAGUGGCAUCAACCCUUUCACACCUAAAACUCCUACUGCUGCUGAUAUACCCACUACCCAGCUACCCCAAGCCUCAGACUCAAAACCCACGCCAGACACCCCAGCCAAGGCUCCUCCCACCCAGUCCAGGAAGAAACAGACACAAGCGGUGGCUCAGUCCAGGAGGGCAGAAAAGAUGAAGACAAGGGAUACCAAGAAAGAGGAACAAAUUGAGGAUAUCCCACCAGCCUCUCCCCCAUCUCCCAAGUGCCCUCCCUACCCAUCAGGCUGCUGGCACCCAUUCACGGUGGAUAAGUCCUGCUCGCGCCAGGCCCGCUGCCAGCACCGUGCCACUAACGCAGCGCUGCCACCCAACGUCACCAAGUGGUUGAACGUGAGGAGGAACUACCUGUGUGAGCCCCCCUGGGUCACCACGGCAACCCUAGCCGCCUCCCUAGCACUGAGAGAGAGAGAGGAGAGACUCGCUAGUGACAACACACAUUCAUUCACAAAUACUGGAGGAAAUAUUUAUACCGAGUAG